AAAAAAAUUUCAAUAUAUUUUUGAUAUUAUUAAUCAAAUAUUGAUUUUUUUUGCUAUAUUUUUAUUUUUUUCUAUUUAACUUAUAAUUUAUUAUAAUUUUUAUCCACCGUAUCGCGCAGGUUUCUACGCUAGUUAACUUUUAAACUCUAAUAAGGUAUCGUUUGGUUCGAGGAUAAACAAAAAGUGGCUAUUCCAGGGAUAGGUAUAAAUUGAGAUAUAAGCGGAAUUAGAUCAAUUUUGUGUUUGGAUGAAAAUUGUGUUAUUCCUAGGAAUAAGAAAAAUAAUAUUUGGUUAGGUAAGAUGGAAUAAGAAUUAAAGUGGAUAGUUAUAAAUAAAAAAUAAUGAUAUUA
rnacentral:lncRNA from 1 species